GCAUAACGCGAAGAACCUUACCUAGGCUUGACAUGCAUCUCUAAGCGCGUGAAAGCGCGUGACCCUUCGGGGGAUUUGCACAGGUGCUGCAUGGCCGUCGUCAGCUCGUGUCGUGAGAUGUUGGGUUAAGUCCCGCAACGAGCGCAACCCUUGUGAACAGUUGCCAGCACUUAAGGUGGGAACUCUGUUCAGACUGCCCAGAUCAACUGGGAGGAAGGUGGGGACGACGUCAGGUCAGUAUGGCCCUUACGCCUAGGGCUGCACACGUACUACAAUGCCCAGCACAAUGAGAACCGAGACCGCGAGGUGGAGGAAAUCUAAAAAACUGGGCCCAGUUCGGAUUGGAGGCUGCAACUCGCCUCCAUGAAGUUGGAAUCGCUAGUAAUGGCGCAUCAUCUACGGCGCCGUGAAUACGUUCCCGGGUCUUGUACACACCG
rnacentral:rRNA from 1 species